GAGCGGGAGAGCUGCCGCCUCCAGGUGUGUGACUGAGGUCAGGGCCCUUAUCGUACUGAGAGUGGCUCAGGCCUUGCCUGAGAUCAGGUCCCCCAGUGUGCUGGGCGCUGCACAAACCCUGACUGAGUUUGGGGGCACUCGUUGUGCCAGGCCCUGCAUCAACACCAGGGUUUCCAAUUUCCAAACUAGAUGUGAUCUCGCUGCUGGACCGAGGGGAAGAGCCGUGGGUCCCGGACCUCCAGGGCUCUGAGAAAGAAGUGCUCCCAAGAGCUGCCUGCACAGGUGUUGGGAUGGUGAGUGAGAAUGAGGAGGAGAAACCCCAACAGGAAAAUGCUCAGCA